UAAAUUCCUCUCGCAGCCUCGCUCUCGCUCUCGCUCGCAGCCAUACCAAUCGGCGCGAUCCGGCGCGCGCGACGACGGAACCGGAAGCAAAACCCUAGCUCCGACCUCCGACUUCCGAUUCCGAUUCCCACCGCCGCGCCGCGCCGCGCCGCGCCGCUCCGCCCACCUCCUCCCCUCCCCCGCCUCGCCGCCUAUGGCGAGCGGCGCGUCCGAUGGCGAGCCCCGCCGCAAGCACCGCCGCUCCUCCUCCCCCCCGGCCGCCGCAGCCACCUCCUCCUCCCCCCGCGGCGGCGGCGAUGGCGGCGAAGGGGACGGCACGGACAGGACCUCGAAGAGGCACAAGCACCGCCACGGCCACCGGCACCGCCACGGCCGCGGCCACCGCCACGCCGGCAAGAAGGCCGAGGAGGAAGCUGGUUCCGGGGGCGGCGGCGAGGGCGUCGAUUCUCCUUCCCCCCCUCCUCCUCCUCCUCCUCCUGCUGCUUCUGCUGUUGCCUUGCCUCCUCCUCCGCCGCCGGCCUCUUCGAGGCGCGAUGACGACGUGGAGGAAGGAGAGAUUCUCGAAGAUGAGGGUUCUGAGCCUGUUGAGGAGCUUGACUUUAAGUAUCUGGUAAAUAAUUCUGAAUCUGGUGUGCCGUCUGCCGAAAGAAGCGUUGGAGUUGUUUCUGGAAAUUCAAAGUCGAUGGUUGAUGAACUCCAGUCAGCAGUUGCCGAUGAUAGUAAAGUAAAUGGCGGUUUAGGUCACGAGAGUCGUGGACCUAGAUUCCACUCUAAAGGUAACGACAAGGCUAAGAACCGAUAUAGUGCUGACACCACAGAGAGUGGAGACGGUGAUGUAAGUGAUCCCGCCGAUAGACACAAGACAUCCCCCUGCUCACCAAGUUCUGAUAGAUACAGAGAUGAUGGAUCGAGGUUGCGAGAUUUUGUGAGGGAAAGAUCUCGUUCUCAGAGCAGUUUACCAUAUGGAGGCUCACCUUUAAAACGAACAAACCAUAUGGAAAGAGAAAAGGAAAGGGAGUCCUCAUAUUUUUUCGAGAAAAGCAAGAUUGAAUAUGAUUCAGAUGAUCAAAAUAUGACUUGGCGCAGCAAGGAUAAAUUGCAUAGCGCUAGAGAUAUUGCGAAGGGCGAGGAAAGGGAAAGGAUCAACUCUGACAGAAGGUAUGGUAGCAUGGAGGAUCAGCAUUACAGCAGGGAGAGGAGCAUCGAAGAUAAAAGCAUGGGAAGUUAUGUUGACGCAGUAGAUAGGAGAAGGGAAGAACGAGAAAAAAGCAAAGAUAGGGAUGUGGACCGGGUCCAUAGAAAGAAAAGUGAACGUGAAAGGAGCAAAGAUAGGGAUGUUGACAGGGACUAUAGAAAGAAAAGUGCACGAGAACGGAGCAUUGGCAGGGAGUUGGAGUGGGAUAGGGGAAGAGAGAAAGAAAGAGAAAUGAGCAGGGAGAGGGACUUGGAGAGGGAUAGGAGAGGAGAUAGAGAUAGAGAAAGAGAAAUGAGCAGGGAGAGGGAUAUGGAUAGGGAUAGGAGAAGAGAGAGAGAAAGAGAAAUGAGCCGGGAGACUGACAUUGAUAGGGAUAGGAGAAAAGAGAGAGAAAGAGAAAUGAGCCGGGAGACUGACAUUGAUAGGGAUAGGAGAAGAGAAAUAGAAAGAGAAAGGAGCUGGGAGAGGGACAUGGAUAGGGAUAGAAGAAGAGAGAAGAAGAGGGAGAGGAGUAUAGAGAGGGAUCGAGAGAGAGAUAGAAGAAGGGAAAGAGAAAGAGAAAGAGAAAGAGAAAGAGAAAGGAGCUGGGAUAGGCCCAGAGAUGGUAGGAGAGACAAGGACAGAGAGAGAAUCAGGGAGAGGAGUAGGGAUAGGAGCUGGAGAUCAGAGCGGAUGGAUGAUGGAAGGAGGGAGGAACGUAGGGAUGGCCGGAGUGGCAACAAGUACGAAAAUGUCGAAGAUGGUUAUGUUGAUAAGCAUGGAUAUUCAAAGCACCCAAGACGAAAUGAAGUGGAAGAUGACAUUGAUAGAAUAAGUAGAGGGGUUUCAACAAAAAUGAGCACUGCAACAGCUAGUACUAUGGAUGGUGAUAAGGAAGUACACAGAAGCGAUGAGGAUGAAAAGGAUGACCUUGAUGGAAAGUUUUCAUUGGAGAUAGCUGAGCAGGAAGAGGAGGAUCUCAAUAGAAUUAAGGAAGAAAGUAGAAGACGAAGGCAAGCCAUUAUGGAGAAGUACAAGAAUUUGCAGCAGCAGCAGCAGCAGCAACAAGAAGAGCAUGUGCAGCCUCAGGCGGAGGAUGCGGUGGAAGACAAAGCACGUCCAGAAAAAUCAACAGCAGAAGUUCAUGGAAGUAUUGCUGAAGGUGUGGAUUCAUCUGUUGCCGAACCGUCAUUUUCUAUUGGAAAAUCGCCUCUUCGAAAUGGAAUUACUGCUACUGAUGGGAGCUCUGGUGAAAGAGGUCUAGGAGAGGGUACGCCGAAGAGUGAGGGAUCGGAUGACAUCUUCUGUGAUGAUAUAUUUGGAGAUUCACCCGCUGGUGCACGUAAGACGGGUAAAGGAGGUGGUUUACCUGUCGAAAGGAGCGGUCUCCAUGACAAUUGGGAUGAUGCAGAGGGAUACUAUAGCUAUCGAUUUGGUGAGAUACUUGAUGGCCGAUAUGAAGUUAUUGCUGCACAUGGGAAGGGAGUUUUUUCGACUGUAGUUCGUGCGAAAGAUUUGAAGGCUGGCAUUGGUGAACCAGAAGAAGUGGCAAUAAAAAUACUGCGAAAUAAGGAGGCCAUGUACAAGGCUGGUGUUGAGGAGCUUGGCAUAUUGAAAAAAUUAGUAGGUGCAGAUCCUGAAGACAAGCGGCACUGCGUUCGUUUACUUUCCAGUUUUAAAUACCGCAAUCAUCUUUGCCUGGUUUUUGAAUCUCUUAAUAUGAAUCUACGUGAAGUUUUAAAGAAGUUUGGUCGCAAUAUUGGUCUUAAAUUAACUGCUGUUAGGGCUUAUGCGAAGCAACUCUUUAUUGCUCUGAAGCAUCUCCGAAACUGUGGUGUCCUUCAUUGUGAUAUAAAGCCUGAUAACGUGCUGGUUAACGAGGCAAAAAAUGUGUUGAAGCUUUGUGAUUUUGGAAAUGCCAUGUAUGCUGGAAAGAAUGAAAUCACACCAUAUCUCGUGAGUCGCUUUUAUCGUUCCCCAGAAAUCAUUCUUGGCUUGCCUUACGAUCAUCCAUUGGAUAUGUGGUCUGUGGGUUGCUGUUUAUAUGAGCUUUACGCUGGGAAAGUUCUUUUUCCUGGCGCUACCAACAAUGACAUGCUUCGUCUACACAUGGAAUUGAAAGGCCCUCUUCCAAAGAAACUGCUUCGAAAGGCAGCAUUUGCAGACCAGCAUUUUGAUGCAGACCUGAAUUUUCUUGCUAUAGAAGAGGAUUCUGUCACCAAAAAGAGCAUAAGGAGAAUGAUUCUUAACAUCAAGCCUAAGGAUAUUGGGUCGAUUAUCAAGGGUUCUCCUGGUGAGGAUCCAAAGAUGUUAGCUAACUUUAAGGAUCUUCUAGACAAAAUUUUUGUAUUGGAUCCGGACAAGAGGAUGACCGUACAACAAGCUUUGAAUCAUCCUUUCAUCACUGGCAAGUGAAACAUGUUGCUGAUUUUUGACUCCAGAAUGCUGUUGCAUUUGAUAAUUGUCUUUGGAAGAUAAUUCUUAUUCAGAAUAUCUAAUCAUUUCGGCAUUAUCUUUGCUUAAUUACCUGUGCUGGAAGAAGAGCUUCAAGAGGGUUUAUGCCAUUAUUGAAGGGGGAUGACAUUUGUUCAAGAAUACACUUUACUGGCGGUUCUUUCAGUGGAAUGUACUGUUCCUAUUGAUCUCUCCCACUGCUUUGAGGCAACCUUCCAGUGUUUAAUUGCUUUACAAAGGCACCCUGGAGAAGGUACCUUGGUUUGUUGAUUGGGAGCUUGUUGUGAAACCUUGAAAGUACUAAAUAGUGCUCUGUGCUAUAUGUUGUACCCAUUUCGCCUAAAAUGAGCCAUCAUGAUUGUGAGUCACAUGAGCUGUAUGGGCUUGAUAAACAUCGUUGUAUAGGGGAAAUCGAAAAGUUUUUCUGUUUGAUGCUGUAUUGUGAUCCCUUGUAUAAGCGCGCUAAUUGUUAGGGGGUCAUUGAAUGUGGAUGUGACAAUUCCCUCUUAGUGUUUGUAAUUUGCAUCGAACUGAUGUUUUUGUCAUCUAUUUCUCUAAUUAAUAAGUGAGGAGAUUUUGUCAGCCAUUCUUUUUUGUGUGAUUUUCCCUUGUUUUUUGUAUCAUAUAUGUGCAUAGUCUAAUCAAGUUAUGUUACAUCUGAUCCAUGGACUAAUGACUCUGGAGGCUAUUACGCUGGAGACUUAUUGCAGCAACCUUCAAAGUGGAAGGAUGCGUCCGGCACAGGUUCCAUGCUUCUGCGAGUCUCGUAAGUAUCUUCAUAUCCUAUAGGUAAUCGUUAUCCAUGCAAGUUAAGAUUUUUUUCUUUCUUUUUCCCUCACUAGUAUUAGAUUCUUCCGUCAGUCUAUAAUUUAGUCUUUUCAAUGCUCUAUGUUUCACAUAAGUUAGCAAUUAGUAAGGUGUCAUUGCUGGCCUUCAUAUGGGAAAUAAGCAUGUAGGGUUGAUUUUGUAGUCCCUGCUAGCUGAGUUGUGAGCCCAGAAUUAUGGGGGCAUAAGCAACUCAAUUGGGUAAACAGGUAUUAAAAGUUUAGAGAAAUAUACAUCCAUUAUAUUGGGAAUUGAAGGAAGAGUAAUGGACUUUUACUGGACAUUUUAUGGCAAUAGCAGUUUUACUUUGCGUGUAUGAAUAACUGAACAUUUUAUUACCUGGCGAAGGGCUAUAUAUAGUCUACUUUGAACAGUGCAACAUUUCUUAUUACUGUACUGGACUGCGAAUGUGCAUGGAUCUCUACAUGUUGUCGCCUUCAUUACUUUUUGGAUUAACAUCCCUCUCCUUUUGAACUUCAAAGGAUCGUUCUGUACUGGACUUCCUUUUUGGUAGUGGGACAUGGUUUAAUACUUGAGGCUCUUUAUGAGCACUCAAGGAUUCAUAUAUGUCAUGUAAGCCAAGUGUUAUGUGGGUCUUACGCUGGGUGUUUGGAAAAAUGUAAUGGACAAUGGAUAAUGAUUUGUCUUUGUGUACUGUUCUCACUAAGAUCCUAGAGGUCCUGGUUUUGAAUCAUACCUUCCAGACCCCUUCACAAAAAGAGAGAAUAGAGAGAGUUGGUGAUAUGAAUCUGGGUAAUUUUGCAGAUAUGAUACUGGCAAUUGACAGUAUUAUUGUAAAGUUUGAUUGAAUGGGGUUCGUUAAUGCAAUAGAAGGUUUGAGAAGAUGUCCUAUCCUGAAUGCAAUGCAAUUCAAGUUUCUCUGCAGUAGCGGACUUCACAGACGAGUGUUUCACAGUUUAGAGACAGUUAAAUUGUUGCCUCUGUAUGAAGUAAAAAUUCCCUGCCGACAAGCUCACAAGAAGAAGAUAGCAACCUAUUGAAACAUGACUUUCGACAGAGUCUGGUGGCGAUUUGUAUGAUGCUUAUUUAUCAUCCAUGAUCACUUGACAUUAUAAAUUGAAUACAUCACUAUUAACUUGCUUC